UAUUUUUUUUCGUGUAGUGAUUUUAACGCGCGCCAUUUUAGCGGAAAAAAACAUCUCUUAAACUUUCAUCAAAUCCGGUGUUUGCGCUCGCGAUUGAUUCUAAUCGGGACACGAAAUUGAUCUUUACUGAUCGGAGGCAUCCCAGAAGGUAAGGAAUGCGUUGGUGGGGCAUUGAAAUAUCUAACAUCCGACGAUUCUGUGGUGAGCCGGUACUGAACAAUCCUCUUGUAAGGGAUCUCUUCGAUGCCGAUCAAUCGGAUGAGUAUCGGUGGCAUAAUUGCAAUUUUCCCAGGGAACCCAACCCCAGCAGGAGCAGGAGCUGUUGGGACAUGGUGGUUUCCAGUCAGCCAUCGACGACGACAGCUAGAAUGGUAUCCGUUCAGCGAGUGACAUCACGAGCGAAGGAAUCGCAGGUUGAUUUUACACAUGGAGCCAGGCAAUAUACAAAGACGAUUUCGAUUCAGCAAAGUGAUCACUUAAAACGGGUUGGCGCUAUGCUCACUCCCACAUCAACUGGAAAUCAUUCGUUCGUAGGAAUCAAUGUUUUCCACGUUCUGGAGCGGGUUCUUGCGGCCUUUGCGUUGCAUUCAGAAAGGGAGGCAACAAUAGUUACAAACAAGCCUGACAAAAUUUCGAGUGUUUGCGUCCGUGAGUGUUUCCCGUAGCAACUAGAAAUAGACUUUCUUUGGUCGGAGGUUCAAUAUACAUCCCUCUCAGGAGGUUCCGAGUGCAUUAAAUGCAAAUUGAAGUCAUAAAACAAACGCAGCUGCAGCUAAAUAUAUCAAUGGAAGAUUUGAAGCUGGUAAUUGAUAUUGAAUCGAAGAUUCGAGAAGUCGCACAGAAACAGGAUUACUAAGCCGAGGUGGACCAUCAAAAUACCAAACAUCCGUCGAUUAUGUGGGGCGCAUACGAUAUCGCCCAAGGAUUGCGCUGAUGCUGAACGACCUCGUACGGAUCUGUUCGAUGCUGAUCACCGCAGAUUUCAUCUGUAAAUCCUUCCCAUCCACAGCAGCACCAGAAGCUGUUGGAACAUUCCGUGAUACUGGUGCUUUAUCAAUCGACGACGAUGGCUCGAGCGUAACAGCUCCUACAUCUGAAACGGGACACAAGGUUGCUGAAGGGGAUCAUCCAUUCGAGUACCAUGAAUGCUUUCUCGACCAAGUGCAAUGAAGUUUCGAGCUGUGAAACGCAAACAAGAAAGGAGAAUUGAGGGACCAUGCACUGAACAACGGCAGCAAGCAUUCGUCGGAAGUGUGUAGAAUUUUUUCGUAAUAAUGGUAAGAUUUGUGCAGUUCUCAUUAAAAUUCCUUAUUUGAAGACAGAGCCACUGUACUUACAAUAAAAUUGGUAAGUCGGUUAAAAUUGUCGACAACCAUAUCAUUAAGAGGCAAGA